GUGAGGAAUAUUGGUCAAUGGACGAGAGUCUGAACCAGCCAAGUCGCGUGAAGGAAGACGGUUCUAUGAAUUGUAAACUUCUUUUGUGCAGGAAUAAAGUGGGUUACGUGUAACCUUUUGUAUGUACUGUACGAAUAAGGAUCGGCUAACUCCGUGCCAGCAGCCGCGGUAAUACGGAGGAUCCGAGCGUUAUCCGGAUUUAUUGGGUUUAAAGGGUGCGUAGGUGGAUUGAUAAGUCAGCGGUGAAAGUUUGCAGCUUAACUGUAAAAUUGCCGUUGAAACUGUCGGUCUUGAGUGCAAAUGAGGUAGGCGGAAUGUGUUGUGUAGCGGUGAAAUGCUUAGAUAUAACACAGAACUCCGAUUGCGAAGGCAGCUUACUGGGAUGCAACUGACACUGAUGCACGAAAGCGUGGGGAGCGAACAGGAUUAGAAACCCGGGUAGUCC
rnacentral:rRNA from 1 species